GAUGAACGCUGGCGGCGUGCCUAGUACAUGCAAGUCGAGCGAAUGGAUUAAGAGCUUGCUCUUAUGAAGUUAGCGGCGGACGGGUGAGUAACACGUGGGUAACCUGCCCAUAAGACUGGGAUAACUCCGGGAAACCGGGGCUAAUACCGGAUAACAUUUUGAACCGCAUGGUUCGAAAUUGAAAGGCGGCUUCGGCUGUCACUUAUGGAUGGACCCGCGUCGCAUUAGCUAGUUGGUGAGGUAACGGCUCACCAAGGCAACGAUGCGUAGCCGACCUGUGAGGGUGAUCGGCCACACGGGGACUGAGACACGGCCCAGACUCCUACGGGAGGCAGGAGUAGGGAUCGUCCGCAAUGGACGAAAGUCUGACGGAGCAACGCCGCGUGAGUGAUGAAGGCUUUCGGGUCGUAAAACUCUGUUGUUAGGGAAGAACAAGUGCUAGUUGAAUAAGCUGGCACCUUGACGGUACCUAACCAGAAAGCCACGGCUAACUACGUGCCAGCCGCCGCGGUAA
rnacentral:rRNA from 1 species